AUUCCAGCUCCAAUAGCGUAUAUUAAAGUUGUUGCGGUUAAAAAGCUCGUAGUUGGAGUUCUGCCAGGUGCCGCCUGUCCGCCCCAGUGGUGAGUACGUGGCGCGCAUUUGGCCCUUUCAAGGGGAGCGUAUCUGCACUUUAUUGUGUGGUGCGGGAUCCUUGACUUUUACUUUGAGGAAAUAAGAGUGUUCCAAGCAGGCUCUCGUCGUGCAUAGCUCAGCAUGGAAUAAUAGCAUUGGAUCUCGAUUCCAAACUGUUGGUUGUAGGAAACGAGAUAAUGAUGAAGAGGGAUAGUUGGGGGCAUUCGUAUUUAACUGUCAGAGGUGAAAUUCUUGGAUUUGUUAAAGACGAACUACUGCGAAAGCAUCUGCCAUGGAUGUUUUCAUUA
rnacentral:rRNA from 1 species